rnacentral:rRNA from 1 species
UACAGAGGGGGCAAGCGUUGUUCGGAAUUACUGGGCGUAAAGGGCGCGUAGGCGGCCUGCUAAGUCGAACGUGAAAUCCCCGAGCUCAACUCGGGAACUGCGUCCGAUACUGGCAGGCUUGAAUCCGGGAGAGGGAUGCGGAAUUCCAGGUGUAGCGGUGAAAUGCGUAGAGAUCGGGAGGAACACCUGUGGCGAAGGCGGCCGACUGGGCCGACCCUGACGCUGAGGCGGCGAAGGCGGUGGGGAGCGAACGGGG